rnacentral:rRNA from 1 species
AGAGUUUGAUCCUGGCUCAGAAUCAACGCUGGCGGCGUGCCUAACACAUGCAAGUCGAGCGGUAACAGGUGUAGCAAUACACGCUGACGAGCGGCGAACGGGUGAGUAAUGCUUCGGAAUCUGCCCAAUGGUGGGGAAUAACUAGCCGAAAGGUUAGCUAAUACCGCAUGAGCCCUACGGGGGAAAGCAGGGGAUCGUAAGACCUUGCGCCGAUGGAUGAGCCGAAGCCGGAUUAGCUAGUUGGUAGGGUAACGGCCUACCAAGGCGACGAUCCGUAGCUGGUCUGAGAGGACGACCAGCCACACUGGGACUGAGACACGGCCCAGACUCCUACGGGAGGCAGCAGUGGGGAAUAUUGGACAAUGGGGGAAACCCUGAUCCAGCGACGCCGCGUGUGUGAAGAAGGCCUGCGGGUUGUAAAGCACUUUUAGUGGGGAUGAAAAGCUCAGGGCUAAUACCUCUGGGUCUUGACCUAACCCACAGAAAAAGCACCGGCUAACUCUGUGCCAGCAGCCGCGGUAAUACAGAGGGUGCGAGCGUUAAUCGGAAUUACUGGGCGUAAAGCGUGCGUAGACGGUUAUGUAAGUCGGGUGUGAAAGCCCCGGGCUCAACCUGGGAAUGCCAUUCGAGACUGCAUAGCUAGGGUGCGGAAGAGGGAAGCGGAAUUUCAGGUGUAGCGGUGAAAUGCGUAGAUAUCUGAAGGAACACCAGUGGCGAAAGCGGCUUCCUGGUCCAGCACCGACGUUCAGGCACGAAAGCGUGGGGAGCAAACAGGAUUAGAUACCCCCGUAGUCC